CCUCCCUCCCUCCUCUGUUCACCAGGGGAGGACGUGGGCACCGGCGAUGGCCGCCACGGCAGAGGGCGUCACCAUGGCGCCCAUCCGCCACCCCCCGGCGCCUACUUAACCGGCGCCCCUCUCUCCACGGAAACCCUAGGCCACCCCGUUCCCCUUCCUCCCUCUCCUCACGCCCUCGUUUGCACGAUCCCGCAUCUCACCGCGCGCGGUCAUCGCCUUGUCAUUGUCGUCCCCGUGGUUGGCUGCAUCCCUGCGCUGCGCCACCACGUCCUGGAGCUUCCCCGCCCUCGCCUUCGUCUCCCUCACCACUGGAUCGAGCCCGGGGCCUUGCAUCGCGCCGUUGCCUACUUCGUCUUCUUCCUCGAAUCACCAUCACCGUUCGCCGUUGAUCUUCUCCAACGCCGGCCACCACGAGCCCUCCCCGACUCCACUCGUGCACACCUACAGGCUCCCGCUACGCCACUCGCUGAAGCUGGUCUUUGGCAAUCGAUGGGCGGUCUUCGUCGCUCUGGUGACUCUUCAGGCUGAAGUGCAACCUUCUGAAGCGAUGGGUCUGUCUGCGCGCCUCUUUCUUCUUCCUAGGGCUAUGCCAACAAGGAGGUAGUGUUUCUUCUAUUUGGGGCUAUGUAUGGCCUCGAGCCAUACUGCCAUAGCAACCUCGUUGCCUCAAGUGGCUCGUCCCCGACGGCAGCAAGAUGCAACCUACACUGACGCAGGGACCUGAUCAUGUUUUUGUCUCUCAGUUUGAGGUCCUUUUUUGUAAAAGUCCAUGGAUUUGUUAUGUAUUUUCUUGUUUCUUUAGGGCCUAGAUGUCAUAUGUGUUGUAUCAUGUUAUUACGAUGGUAAUAAAACUUCGGGAUCCCUCCCUGUUAAAAUAAACUUUGACAAUAACGCCUGUAAAUAAAUAAUGUUUUUCA